rnacentral:tRNA from 1 species
CAGGCGCAUCUCAGCUGGAUAGAGUACUCGGCUACGAACCGAGCGGUCGGAGGUUCGAAUCCUCCCGGAUGCACCA